rnacentral:rRNA from 1 species
CCAAUAGCGUAUAUUAAAGUUGUCGCAGUUAAAAAGCUCGUAGUUGAAUUUCGGGGUCAGUAGGUUGGUCGUGCCACAGGUAUGCACUGGUCUCACUGAUUCCUCCUUCCUGAUGAACCGUAAUGCCAUGAAUUUGGUGUUGCGGGGAAUCUGGACUGUUACUUUGAAAAAAUUAGAGUGUUUAAAGCAGGCUAACGCUUGAAUACAUUAGCAUGGAAUAAUGAAAUAGGACGAUCGAUCCUAUUUUGUUGGUUUCUAGGAUUGACGUAAUGAUUAAUAGGGAUAGUUGGGGGCAUUAGUAUUCAAUUGUCAGAGGUGAAAUUCUUGGAUUUAUUGAAGACUAACUACUGCGAAAGCAUUUGCCAAGGAUGUUUUCAUUAAUCAAGAACGAACGUUAGGGGAUCGAAGACGAUCAGAUACCGUCGUAGUCUUAACCAUAAACUAUGCCGACUAGGGAUCGGAUGAUGUUAAUUUUUUAAUGACUCAUUCGGCGCCUUACG